rnacentral:rRNA from 1 species
GUGCCAGCAGCCGCGGUAAUACGUAUGUCCCGAGCGUUAUCCGGAUUUAUUGGGCGUAAAGCGAGCGCAGACGGUUUAUUAAGUCUGAUGUGAAAGCCCGGAGCUCAACUCCGGAAUGCCAUUGGAAACUGGUUAACUUGAGUGCAGUAAGAGGUAAGUGGAACUCCAUGUGUAGCGGUGGAAUGCGUAGAUAUAUGGAAGAACACCAGUGGCGAAGGGCGGCUUUACUUGGACUGCAACUGACGUUGAGGCUCGAAAGUGUGGGUAGCAAACAGGAUUAGAUACCCUGGUAGUCC